rnacentral:rRNA from 1 species
AUUGAACGCUGGCGGCAGGCCUAACACAUGCAAGUCGAACGAGUGGCGGAGGGGAGAGUAAUGUAUGGGAAAAUGCCUGAUGGAGGGGGAGAACUAAUGGAAACGGUAGCUAAUACCGCAUACAAUCGGAUGAGCCCAGAUGGGAUUAGCGAGUAGGUGGGGUAAAGGCGGUCCUAGGCGACGAUCACUAGCUGGUCUGAGAGGGUGACCAGCCACGCUGGAACUGAGCCACGGUCCAGCCUCCUACGGGAGGCAGCAGUGGGGAAUAUUGCACAAUGGGCGCAAGCCUGAUGCAGCCAUGCCGCGUGUAUGAAGAAGGCCUUCGGGUUGUAAAGGACUUUCAGCGGGGAGGCGUUACCCGCAGAAGAAGCACCGGCUAACUCCGUGCCAGCCGCCGCGGUAAUAC